GGGGCAGGGGAGAGCUCUAAGGGACAGAAGGGAGAGCUCUAUAGGACAGGGGCAGGAUAGGGAGUUCUUUCACACUAUGCGCACACUCACACACACACACAAUGCAUCCCUAUACACACACAGAAACACACAAUGCAUCCCUACACACACAGAAACACACAAUGCAUGCCUACACACACAGAAACACAACAUGCUUCCCUUACACACAGAGAAACACACAAUGCAUCCAUUACACACACACACACACACACACACAAUGCAACCCUUACACACAAAGACAAUGCAUCCUUUGCACACAUACACAGAAACACACAAUGCAAUCCCUUACACACACAUGCAAACACACACACUGCUUCUCUUACAUACACACAGAAACACAAUGCAUCUCUUACACACACUGAAUGCACACACUUACAGACACACACCCCGCAUUCCUUAUGCAUACAAACACAGAUUCACACAAUGCAUCCCUUACACACAACCAGAAACACACAAUACAUCCCUUAUACACAAACACACACUGCUUCCACUACACAUAGACACACUGCAUCACCUACACAAACUGGUAGCCCUAUACAUUACAAACCAUAAGAACACGUAUUAGAUCCCCUACAAUAACACAUCCCCUGUGUAAGGGGCCCCACAAAAAUGGAGCUGCUUCCCAUUCUCCCAGAACAUUGAAUUUUGUGACCACAGUUGCAAACAGCCUCCAGAGAUCCUGUUGGACACCAGACCAGAGGAGCCAAACUGCAGCCCAUCACCAUCCUUAUCUGGUUGUGUAUACUGAGAUGGAAGAAAAAGGACAAGAACCAACAGAAGAUCCCUCUGGUUCCACAGUAUCCAGCAGCGAAGACCUUGAUGGCACAAUACGUCCUGCUGCGGAGUGAGAUGGGAAAAUUACAUAAUCAGAAUUCCAUAACAUAUUGCAUAUUAUGGUGAUUGAAGGAGAUGGAAACUAACCAAUGGAUGGUCCAUGUGAUGCCACGGAGUCCAGCAAUGAAUAGUCUGAAGAGCCGAUACCUCCCUUUGCCGGGUGAGAUAUUCAGUGAGGAUGGAAAGGAUCAAGAGCCGUUGUUUGCUGCAAUACACUAAGGCACUGAAAAAUCCUUUGCUAGACGUUCAGAAUAUCCAAGAGAAAAACAGAAGAGAGCUGAAAACACAUUAUCGUCAUGGAUGAGGACAAAGAACUACAGUUGUGCUAAUAAACUUGUAUACUCUGGCAGAUUUUGUGAAAUUUUGGCAUUGAUUUUGAAAAUAUGA